AGGAGAGAGGUUGCUGAUGGCUGUGGGAAAGGUCGCGACCUCAACAAGGGCUGUGGUGCCCAUGAGGGUCAGAUGGACGCUGCAGUGAGGAGGGAGCAGAAACCCAGAUUGAGGCCAGCUGGUGGAGAGAAGAGAGGAGAAUAAAAGCUCCAGAAGCAGCUGAAGAUAAGAGACCCUCCAUCUAUGUGCUACAGGAGAGCACCACCGGCAGAGGUGCUGCAUCCAGCCAGCGCUCCCUCCAAGGCCACGCCCCCGGGGCCGGGCCUACCCCCAGUGGGAGGGGCGCCUUGGAGUGGAUGGAGAUGCCCCACGGCCUGGACCACCUGUGGCGGAGUCUGAAGGCUGCCCUGCCCCAACGCCUAGUCCCAGACCGGCUGCCUUUCCACGAGAGUCCUGUUUUGCGGAUGACCGAGUGGCUUUCCUUCUGAUGACCCCUCUCUAAGUGAGGAGAGAGAACCUCUGUCCUUCAACCUUGCAAUCCUGUUGUGUCCAUCUUACAGACAAUGGAAUGGAGGCCCAGACACUGUCCCAUGGUCCCCAGCCCCCAGCAGGUCCUCAAGGAAGCUGUGACCUAAUAAGGGCAGUGAGGCAGAGCUCAGUGUCCCAAGAAGAGAUGACAAGGGCAAGGCUGUUGAUGCCUCAGAAAACUCCGCUGUGUGCUCCUGAGAGAAGGAGAGCAGGAAGGCAAAGAACGUUUCUGAAAGUGGACCACACUGCCAGAACCGUGGACUCGGGGCCUUCUGAAGUUGGUUAUGUACCUAACCAGAGGGUCUUAACUGAGGCAGUGGUUGACCUGUCAGCCCCAGGAAUAUGGCUUUGAUUUGCUAACAGGUCCUAAUGAAGUUAUUUAUGAAUACAUGAAUAAUCCUUUACGGUAGGAAUGUAGUUGCCACCCUAAACCUCACCUAUUGAUUUCCUGAUGUUUAGUAGAUGGUAGUCACUUAAGGAGCCUUAAUGUGGACACCAUACUCACACACACACACACACACACACACACGCACGCACGUGAGUGCACAGGUGUACAUAGGAAGAGAAGCUGAUGAAAUGUUCAAGGUGGCCAUAAUUGCAGUGUUAUGUCUUCUUUUUAGCUAUUUUUUAAACUAGAUACUGUCAGAAUUGAGUUGAAUUGUAAACAAGUGAUUCAUGCCCAUUGUAGGAAACUUAGGAAAUGCCGGUGGCCGAAGGGAAAGACUGCUUACCCUUAUUCCGCUCCCGCAGGGUUGUCUCUGACAGCAUUUUGGCUAUAGCCUUCUGUGCAGAUACGUUUGUUUUAAAACAAAAGUAGAAACACACUGCACAUAAUUUUUAGAGGCUUGCUUUUUAAUAUUUUACAAUAUUUAUAAGUAUAUAUCCCUCUAAGUAACAUAUACUUCUAUAAUAUUUUUUAAAAGGCUGCUUUCUGUACUCUGUCAUAUAAAUAUAUCCUAAUUUAUUUAACAAACCUCUGAUUGUACAUUUAGUUUGUGUUUUAUUUUGCUAUGAUUAUACAUCUUUGUACCCAUUACCAAUCUGUUUUAACAUAGCUUUUUUAAUGAAAAAUUUCAAGCAAUCGCAAAAGUAGAGAGUGAGGUGGGGAACUCCUGCUUACCCACCACCAGCCUCAGUAAUGACGAGUGUGUCAUCAUCUGUGUCCCCUCCCGCCCCUGCUGGAUUCGAUGCAAAUCUAAGCUCUCAUAUAAUUUCUUCCGUAAAUACUUCAGAAUGUGUUUCUAGAAGAUUAGGGCUCUCUCUUGUUUUAGUAACCUGACCACCAUUCCAUUAUCAAUCUAUAAAAAUUAAUAAUAAUUCUACUCAAAAGAAUUGAAAGCAGGGUCUUGAAGAGGUAUUUGUAUACUCGUGUUCACAGCAGCGUUAUUCGCAACUGCCAAGAGGUGGAAGCAACCCAAGAGUCCGUUGAUGGAUGAAUGGGUAAACAAAACGUGGUGUAUACAUGCAAUGGAAUAUGCGAUAUUGUGAUUUAUAAUAAAUAUAUAUUUGGUCUUCAUCCCCGUUUCUGACACAGAGCUCUUAAAACUUGAAAUUUCCUAAGUCAUGACAGGGAUAAAGGUGUCUUCUGUCUUGUUAAUGAGGUGGCUUUGGACCCACCCUGAGGAUGGGGCUGGUUGCUCGGGGAACCAACCUUGUGAUUAGAGGGUUGAACUUUCAGUUCCACCCCUGACCUCCGGGCAGAGGAGAGGAGCUGGAGGUUGCAUCAACCACCAAUGGCUAAUGAUUUAAUCAAUCAUGGCUGUCUAACUAAGUCUCCAUAAAAACCCGAAAGGACGGGGUUCGGAUUGGUGAACACGUGGGAACUG
rnacentral:lncRNA from 1 species